ACUUAUUUCUAUAUUAUCAAUAUUAUUAUUAUUAUAAAUUAGUUUUAAUGAGCUGAAUCGAUUGCAGUGUCAGCUACAAUAAUAAUAACAAUAAUAAUAAUAAUAAUAAUAAUAAUGAU
rnacentral:miRNA from 1 species